rnacentral:pre_miRNA from 1 species
AGAGGGAUAGCUGGAUCAAAUGGCAGUUCUGUUCUCAAUUUUUCAAGAAAUCUCCAUACUGCUUUCCAUAUUGGCUGUACCAAUUUGCAGUUCCACCAGCAAU